UACGUAGGGUGCGAGCGUUAAUCGGAAUUACUGGGCGUAAAGCGUGCGCAGGCGGUCAUGUAAGACAGAUGUGAAAUCCCCGGGCUUAACCUGGGACCUGCAUUUGUGACUGCAUUGCUAGAGUACGGUAGAGGGGGAUGGAAUUCCGCGUGUAGCAGUGAAAUGCGUAGAUAUGCGGAGGAACACCGAUGGCGAAGGCAAUCCCCUGGACCUGUACUGACGCUCAUGCACGAAAGCGUGGGGAGCAAACAGG
rnacentral:rRNA from 1 species